GACAUGUUCAAAGAACGAUAUAGAGAUUGAGAAUGGGUUUCUUUCUGAAUCUGAUCAUACAUAUGCUCUAAAUAGAAAAACACACUAUAGGUGCAAACAGGGAUAUGUAACAGCAAAUGGAGAAACAUCAGGAACAAUUACCUGCCUCCAAAAUGGAUGGUCAGCUCAACCCUCAUGUAUCAAGUCUUGUGAUAGGCCUAUAUUUGAGAAUGCUGGAACUAAAAAUAAUAGCACGUGGUUUAAACUCAAUGAUGAAAUAGACUACGAAUGCCAUAUUGGAUAUGAAAACAAAUAUAAACAUACCAAGGGCUACAUAACAUGUACAUAUGAUGGAUGGUCUGACAUACCUUCAUGCUAUGAAAGAGAAUGCAGCAUCCCCUUACUAUCACCACACUUAUUCGUCAAUCCCAGGAAUGACAAAUAUAAAGUUGGAGAUUUGUUAAAAUUUUCUUGCCAACAAGGACACAGAGUUGGACCAGAUUCAGUGCAAUGCUACCACUUUGGAUGGUCUCCUAGUUUCCCAACAUGUAAA